GUGCUCGCUCCGGCAGCACAUAUACUAAAAUUGGAACAAUACAGAGAUUAGCAUGGCCCCUCUACAAGGAUGACACGCAAAUUAAUGGAGUGUUCCAUAUUUUU